AUCAAUAAGCGGAGGAAAAGAAACUAACAAGGAUUCCCCUAGUAACUGCGAGUGAAGCGGGAAAAGCUCAAAUUUGAAAUCUGGCAGUCUUUUUUUUCUUCUUUGGCUGUCCGAGUUGUAAUCUAGAGAAGUGCUUACCUGCACUGGACCAUGUAUAAGUCUCCUGGAAUGGAGCGUCGCAGAGGGUGAGAAUCCCGUCUUUGACAUGGACUGCCAGUGUGUUGUGGUGUGCUCUCAAAGAGUCGAGUUGUUUGGGAAUGCAGCUCUAAAUGGGUGGUAAACUCCAUCUAAAGCUAAAUAUUGGCGAGAGACCGAUAGUGAACAAGUACCGUGAGGGAAAGAUGAAAAGGACUUUGGAAAGAGAGUUAAACAGUAUGUGAAAUUGUUGAAAGGGAAACGCUUGAAGUCAGUUAUGUUGGCUAGGGAUCAACCUAGCUACUUUUGCUGGGUGAAUUUCCUAGUCUUACAGGCCAACAUCAGUCUUGACUGCUAGAAAAGAGCAGAGGGAAUGUGGCACCUUUGGGUGUGUUAUAGCCCUUUGUCAUAUGUGGCAGUUGGGACUGAGGGAUGCAGCAUGCCGCGAGGCUGGGUUUCUGACCACGUUCAUGCUUAGGAUGUUGGCUUUUAAUGGCUUCAAUCGACCCGUCUUGAAACACGGACCAAGGAGUCUAACAUGCCUGCGAGUGUUUGGGUGGGGAAAACCCUUGUGCACAAUGAAAGUGAAAGUUGAGAUCCCUGUCAUGGGGAGCAUCGACGCCCGGACUUGAGCUUUUAGCGACGGAUCCGCGGUAGAGCAUGCAUGUUGGGACCCGAAAGAUGGUGAACUAUGCCUGAAUAGGGCAAAGCCAGAGGAAACUCUGGUGGAGGCUCGUAGCGAUUCUGACGUGCAAAUCGAUCGUCAAAUUUGGGUAUAGGGGCGAAAGACUAAUCGAACCAUCUAGUAGCUGGUUCCUGC
rnacentral:rRNA from 1 species